rnacentral:rRNA from 1 species
AAAGAUUAAGCCAUGCAUGUCUAAGUACAUGUGUAAUUUAACACGAAACCGCGUAUGGCUCAUUAUAACAGCUAAAAUUUACUUGAUUUUGACUUUUAUCCUACAUGGAUAACUGUGGUAAUUCUGGAGCUAAUACGUGCAUAAAAGAUAUAACAUUGAUAUGUUAUAUUGCGUAUAUUAGUAUUAAAACCAAGCAUUCUUCGGAAUGUUUUGUGUUGAAACUGAAUAUAUCAUGCUGAUCGUAUGGUCUUGUACCGACGACAUGUCAUUCAAGUGUCCGAUCUAUCAACUUUCUAUAUAAGUAUAUAGUACUUAUAUGGUUUUGACGGAUAACGGGGUAUUAGGGUACGACUCAGGAGAAAAUGCCUGAGAAACGGCGUUUACAUCCAAGGAAGGCAGCAGGCGCGAAAAUUACCCACUCUCAGUACGAGGUGGUAGUGACGAGAAAUGACAAGAUCUAUUCCUUCGGGGAUGGAUCAUUGGAAUGGUUUGAUUUUAAAGUCAUUAAAGAGUAUCAAUGAGAGGGCAAGUCUGGUGCCAGCAGCCGCGGUAAUUCCAGCUCUCAUACUGCAUUGAAUUGUUGUUGCGGUUAAAAAGCUCGUAGUUGGAUCUGUACAUGAUAGGUUAGUUCAUCCUUUGGAUUGUAACUAAUAAUAAAUGUUUUUUAUUAGAUUUUUUAUUUUUUUACGAAAAUAAAUGUCUAAUGGGUUUACUUUGAAUAAAUCAGAGUGCUCAAAACAGGCGUAAGCUUGUAUGGUUUUGCAUGGAAUAAUAGAACGUGACUAUGGUUCAUGUUUUAUUGGUUUUACUUACCAUAGUAAUGAUUAAAAGGAACAAACGGGGGCAUCCGUAUCGCAGGGCGAGAGGUGAAAUUCGUGGACCCUUGCGAGACGAACUACAGCGAAAGCAUUUGCCAAGAAUG